CACGGGGGUUGCGAGCGUUGUCCGGAAUUACUAGGCGUAAAGGGCAGGCAGGCGGAUCCAUAAGUUUAUCGUUUAAGGCGUCGGCUUAACCGGCGUAGGGCGGUAGAUACUGUGGAUCUGGAAUGCGGUUGGGGAAGACAGAAUUCCUGGUGUAGCGGUGGAAUGCGCAGAGAUCAGGAGGAAUAUCGAUUGCGAAGGCAGCUCACAAAGCCAAGAUUGACGCUGAGGCACGAAAGUGUGGGGAUCAAACAGGAUUAGAUACCCG
rnacentral:rRNA from 1 species